rnacentral:lncRNA from 1 species
ACAACAUAAGAACAAAAAGAAACAAAUUGUUCAAAGACAAAGGCUUGUGACUGAAUUAGAAUCUUCCCGAAAACAUAUUAAAUCUAAAUCAUAUCCCUAUGCAAUAUAUUGUCAUCACUUUCUUUCUCUUCACUCUCUUCUUCUUUGUCAUCCCCAUCAUUUCCUUCGCCAUCAUCUUCCAUAGCUUCUUCUUCAUCAUUAUUAUUCUCCUCGUCCUCAUCAUAAUCCAAACUCUGAAUCCC